UCGCAGGCUGCAACCCGCCUGCGUGAAGUUGGAAUCGCUAGUAAUCGCGGAUCAGCAUGCCGCGGUGAAUACGUUCCCGGGCCUUGUACACACCGCCCGUCACACCAUGAGAGUCGGGAACACCCGAAGUCCGUAGCCUAACCGCGAAGGGGGCGCGGCCGAAGGUGGGUUCGAUAAUUGGGGUGAAGUCGUAACAAGGUACC
rnacentral:rRNA from 1 species